UGGGGAAUAUUGCACAAUGGGCGAAAGCCUGAUGCAGCGACGCCGCGUGCGGGAUGAAGGCCUUCGGGUUGUAAACCGCUUUUAAUUGGGAGCAAGCUGAGAGUGAAGUGUACCUUUUGAAUAAGCACCGGCUAACUACGUGCCAGCAGCCGCGGUAAUACGUAGGGUGCAAGCGUUAUCCGGAAUUAUUGGGCGUAAAGAGCUCGUAGGCGGUUUGUCACGCCUGGUGUGAAAGUCCAUCGCUUAACGGUGGAUCUGCGCCGGGUA
rnacentral:rRNA from 1 species